rnacentral:rRNA from 1 species
AAUCAACGCUGGCGGCGUGCCUCAGACAUGCAAGUCGAACGAUUAAACUUCCCUUCGGGGAAGAUAUAAAGUGGCGCACGGGUGAGUAACACGUAGGUAAUGUACCUUUGGGUGGGGAAUAACUUAGGGAAACUUAAGCUAAUACCGCAUAAUGCAGCGGCUCCUUCGGGAGACAGUUGUUAAAGAUUUAUCGCCUAAAGAGCAGCCUGCGGCAGAUUAGCUAGUUGGUAAGGUAACGGCUUACCAAGGCUACGAUCUGUAUCCGACCUGAGAGGGUGGUCGGACACACUGACACUGAAUAACGGGUCAGACUCCUACGGGAGGCAGCAGUCGGGAAUGUUGGGCAAUGGACGAAAGCCUGACCCAGCAACGCCGCGUGAAGGAUGAAGUCUUUCGUGAUGUAAACUUCGUAAGAAUAGGAAGAAUAAAUGACGGUAAUAUUUGUAAGGUCCGGCUAACUACGUG